AGAUAUGCAACCCAGGGACCUCCCACCAAUGAAUAAUUCAUAUUUAAGCAGUUUAGCCUAUUAUUAUGGGGCGAAUGAAAUCAUGUGAACAUUUAAUCAACAUAUCUUUUUAGGGGUACUCUAGGUUCAUUUUGCAUGUUGGCUGGGGUACGACAUUAUGAUUCCAUUGUUUUUAUACGUACUUGUAAGUAUUUUUUCCUUUUUUAAAUAUAGGACUUCAAAAUACUUCAGACUCAGAUAUGGCUAAAGAAUAACCUGUGGAAUCAGAUAUACCUGGAUUUGAAUUUGGGGUUUGUGGCAGCCCUGUGUGGAGCAAGUCUAUCAAGCACCAUUUUUACAGCAGUAUUUGUUUACUUCAUGUCUCUGUCACAAUUUGGUAAUUCUUGAAAUAUUGUGAACUUUUCCAUUAUUACUAUAUUUGGUAUGGUAGUCAGUGAUCUUUGAUGUUACUAUUGUAAUUGUCUUGAAGUGUCACAAACCACGUCCUUACAAGUCAGUGGUGCUGCUGGUUGGUCAGUCACUCAGUCAUGUCUGACUCCGAUUCCAUGCCCUAUAGCCAAUGGGAAGAAUGCUGGAGUGGGUUGCCAUUCCCUUCUCCAGGGGAUCUUCCCCGCCCAGGGAUCGAACCUGGGUUUCCUGCUUUGCACGCAAUCCAUACAAGUUGGUAAACUUCGAUAAAUGGUGUGUGUGCGCCGACUGCUCCGGCAAACAGCCGUUCCCUGUCACUGUCUCUUCUAGGGCUUGUCUAUUCCCUGGGACACAAAAUACUGAAAUCAGGCCAAUUAGGAACCCUUUAGUGGCCUGUAGGUGUUUAAGUGAAAAGUUACGCCUCUCCUUUUAAAUCAAAAGGUAGAAAUGACCAAACUUAGGAAGGCACAUCAAAAGCCAAGGCAGAUUGGAAGCUAGGCCUUUCGCACCAGCUAGCCAAACUGUGAAUGCAGAGGGAAGGGUCUUGAAGGAAAUGAAAAAUGCUGCUCCAGCGAACACCCAAAUGAUGAGAGUGAAAAGAACCUUAUUAAGGAUGUGGAGAAAGUUGUAGUGGUCUGGGUAGACGAGCAAACCAGCCACAAUAUUUCCUUAA
ensembl:lncRNA